GAUGAACGCUGGCGGCGCGCCUAACACAUGCAAGUCGAACGGCACCUAUCUUCGGGUAGAAGCGAGUGGCGAACGGCUGAGUAACACGUGGAGAACCUGCCCCCUCCCCCGGGAUAGCCGCCCGAAAGGACGGGUAAUACCGGAUACCCCCGGGCGCCGCAUGGCGCCCGGGCUAAAGCCCCGACGGGAGGGGAUGGCUCCGCGGCCCAUCAGGUAGACGGCGGGGUGACGGCCCACCGUGCCGA
rnacentral:rRNA from 1 species